rnacentral:lncRNA from 1 species
AUGUGUUUUAAUAUUGAUAUGCGUGGCAGUGCGUAGUUUGGAGGCAGUUUGACAUGUGGAUUUAGACGCUUCGCAACCUAUUGUUUUGCAGGUGUGUGAUUCGAGUCGGUGUUGCUCUUGGCUAGCAGAUAGGAUUACUCGUUUAUUUGGUGGAAUGCAUUCGACUUGUUAGAAAUUAAAUAACAUUUUGACUUUUUAUUUAAU